rnacentral:rRNA from 1 species
GUGGGGAAUUUUUGACAAUGGGGGAAACCCUGAUCAAGCAACGCCGCGUGGAUGAUGAAGUACCUCGGUACGUAAAAUCCUUUCGACAGGGAAGAAGCCUUCGGGUUGACGGUACCUGUAGAAGAAGCCCCGGCUAACUCCGUGCCAGCAGCCGCGGUAAUACGGGGGGGGCAAGCGUUGUUCGGAUUUACUGGGCGUAAAGGGCGCGUAGGCGGUUUGUUAAGUCGGAUGUGAAAACUCUGGGCUCAACCCAGAGCCUGCAUCCGAUACUGGCAGACUAGAGUGCGAGAGGGGAAAGCGGAAUUCCUGGUGUAGCGGUGAAAUGCGUAGAUAUCAGGAGGAACACCGGCGGCGAAGGCGGCUUUCUGGAUCGCAACUGACGCUGAGGCGCGAAAGCUAGGGGAGCAAACAGG